AAAUUCAGGGGCUCAACCCCUGACCUGCACUCGAUACGGGUAGACUGGAGUUUGGUAGGGGAGACUGGAAUUCCUGGUGUAGCGGUGGAAUGCGCAGAUAUCAGGAGGAACACCAAUGGCGAAGGCAGGUCUCUGGGCCAAUACUGACACUGAGGAGCGAAASSCGGGGGGCGAACAGGAUUAGAUACCCUGGUAGUCCGCGCCGUAAACGAUGGNCGCUAGUUGUGGGGACCUUCCNCNGUUUCUGCGACGCAGCUAACGCAUUAAGCGCCCCGCCUGGGAGUACGAUCGCAAGAUU
rnacentral:rRNA from 1 species